GAGUUUGAUCCUGGCUCAGGAUGAACGCUGGCGGCGUGCCUAACACAUGCAAGUCGAGCGAUUCUCUUCGGAGAAGAGCGGCGGACGGGUGAGUAACGCGUGGGUAACCUGCCCUGUACACACGGAUAACAUACCGAAAGGUAUGCUAAUACGAGAUAAUAUACUUUUAUCGCAUGGUAGAAGUAUCAAAGCUUUUGCGGUACAGGAUGGACCCGCGUCUGAUUAGCUAGUUGGUAAGGUAACGGCUUACCAAGGCGACGAUCAGUAGCCGACCUGAGAGGGUGAUCGGCCACAUUGGAACUGAGACACGGUCCAAACUCCUACGGGAGGCAGCAGUGGGGAAUAUUGCACAAUGGGCGAAAGCCUGAUGCAGCAACGCCGCGUGAGCGAUGAAGGCCUUCGGGUCGUAAAGCUCUGUCCUCAAGGAAGAUAAUGACGGUACUUGAGGAGGAAGCCCCGGCUAACUACGUGCCAGCCGCCGCGGUAAUAC
rnacentral:rRNA from 1 species